GAAAUGCGAUAAGUAAUGUGAAUUGCAGAAUUCAGUGAAUCAUCGAAUCUUUGAACGCACCUUGCGCUCCUUGGUAUUCCUUGGAGCAUGCCUGUUUGAGUAUCAUGAAAUCUUCAAAGUAAAUCUUUUGUUAACUCAAUUGGUUUCUACUUUGGUAUUGGAGGUCUUUGCAGCUUCACACCUGCUCCUCUUUGUUCAUUAGCUGGAUCUCAGUGUUAUGCUUGGUUCCACUCGGCGUGAUAAGUUAUCUAUCGCUGAGGACACUGUAAAAGGUGGCCAAGGUAAAUGCAGAUGAACCGCUUCUAAUAGUCCAUUGACUUGGACAAUAGUUUUAUGAUCUGAUCUCAAAUCAGGUAGGACUACCGGCUGAACUUAAGC
rnacentral:misc_RNA from 1 species